rnacentral:lncRNA from 1 species
ACGAGGGGGGUGACGACGGCGAGGUGUCCUUCACCAUGAAUGAGACCAACGGAUGGAUCUGGGAGCGUGGCCUCAUCGUGCAGGGCAUCGAGUUCAGACGUAAGAAACCAGGCUGAGUGAGGAGCCCCUAGGAGUCAACUCGCCCGGGUCAAUGUAAGUGAAUAAUAAGGAAAGUAUAUCUUCUGUAAUGUGUGUUUUUGAACACCUCUCCUUUCGCUGCUAAAGCAUAUAUAUCUGUACAUACUAUGCUACCUAGAUGGCUGAUGAAGUGAUGAGGGUUUGCUAGAUGACUCAUGCCGUCGUAGGCCUUGGUUAAGCAGAUUUACAUCAUCUGGUUAAUAAUAUGGCUGCAUGCAUCGAUUGAUGCAGAGGCCGGAGGUCAACCUCCUUUACAAAAGCAAAAAAGAAUCAUUUGGUUAUGUGAGAUGCUUGUGCCUGGUGGCUACUUGGCAUCUGUUUAUGCUGAGAUCCUUGUGGCUAAUUUGCAUCUGGUUUCUUUUGUCCGCAAUGCACAGAAGGUUCUUCUCUAUCUAGAAAGAUAGAUGAAGUGCUAAAAUGUCAUACGUUUUCACUCACAUCUGGAUGCCUUUUACUGAGAAUAUACACAAAAGGGUUGCGUACCUAUAAGGACAGAUAGAUUACAUGUUCGACAGUUCAUGCACUGCUUUUCUGGAAUAGACAAGGAACGAAAAGGUCAGAAUUUUACUAGGAAAGCCGAUAAUUCAAUUCAGAACGGGGCUCAUCUACACCCGACAGUAAAAUCGCAAUAAAUAGUAAAAAAUUAAAAAAAAAUCUGAAACUAGUUUGCACGCAAGAUGCUUGAGUGUGCCUGGUGGGUAAAAAAGCUCAUGUGAAAAUGACAUUCAAGGAGCUAGUGCCACAAAUGACGAAAUCGACUAAGAACAGUGUGUUUUUCAAACUUUUUCACAUUUUUGAAAUUUGUCCUUUUUGCCACGAAUAUCCAAACUUCACCAAAUAUGGCACGAUUCGACCAUCUUGCACAACAAUAUAUUUCAGAAGUUCUUAAAAUUUUCUGCCAUUCCAAAUGAUUUUACUGUUCACCCCGUGACUAACUGGACCUGGGUGCUAGGAAAGGCAGAAAAGCUUCUUCUACGCACGGCGUUCACUUGUAUGCAUAUCCACACCACUUAUAUGCAUCUGGAAUUCUGGAUCAUGAAUCGGCAUUUAAGAUGCCAUGUAUAGCAAAUAUGCUGUUGAAACACUAGCAGUAUACUGGCAGUAUUCCACCCCUGCAGACGGUCGUAUUGGCACACCUCCGGUACUGGAUUCCUAGAUGGAACCACCACGCGAAUGACCGUUCAGGUACUAGUUACACUAGUCCAGGUUGCAUGUUGUACCAAGAACUGAUAUAAAAUCCGUUCCGAUUUGAAGUUCAAAAAAACUUAGUAACCACCGUCGGAUAGCCACACUCAACCGCCCAACAAGGACUGCUUUUGUUUUUCCAGACGGCUUCUACUUACUGCGUCAAUUCCAAAUUCCCAAAUAUGUACAACGUCUUUUUCCACGUGUUUUAUGUGUGUUCAUCAUUCUCUUUUGUUUUAGCGCCAAGCGGGUAAUCAUAAGAACUAAACAAACAGGAAAAUCAUGACGGGAUAGUCACCAUGUUGCCACGAACUUACCAAUGUCAGGCAUAAAGCAAUUAGCAAAAGGAAACACAUGACUAAAUAUGGGUAUUUAAAAAAACUGAGGAGAAAAUAUGGGUUUUAAUAGUUCGAAGCUGCCAACUCUUACAGUUUUGAUGAAAAACAUUGGCAUCGACUGGUGGCAUGGGCUAGCAUUUCGAUUGAAGCCCAGUUAUCAAAGGGAAAAAUGUUCAAAAACAGCCGGAUGAUUUUGGGGCUUCGUCAGCCGCGUCAGGCGCCGUGCGAUCGCACGCCAUUGUGUGGUGUGGAGCCUCUGUUCUCCACGUGACGUCUAUAGUGACGCCUGAAGCUAUGAUUGUUAACAGAUUUUUUUAUUUGGAGGUAAUAUCACGGGGAGUCAUAGAACUUGCACUCGAUGUUCAGUUUGGUGCUAGAACUUUGAAAAUACGAAAUUGCAGUCACUCAACUUGACUCAAGCGUGCACAUAUGGUCACAAAAUACGUAUAUUGAUGUAUCGGUGUGUAUGGCCCCACCUAUCAUUGAUUGGAGGUGCUUGACCGAGAGUUUUUUGCACAAAACACCCUUGCAAUUUUCUAUUCAUGGGAAAAGUCGACCACCACGAUGUAUUUUUGCUCAAAACCACUUCAUGGUUUUUUAUUUGUAGGAACGUCAAACACUGUAUUACGAAAAUUAACGCGAAAAAUAGGGCGCACAAGGUCUGGAAUGCACUACCGGGGAUUACCACACUAGCAAGUCUAAACACUACACCAAUCACAUUCACAUGCCUGCUAAAAGUCUAUAUGUGCUGGUACAUGUCCCACCUGUUAUUAUAGAAUGGAAAUUAACAUAAUCAAAAUUCAUAUAAAUAAGUGUAGCUAUCAAGUCUCCAACUCACGACCAGAGGCUAGCACAAAAGAAACCCUGGCCACAACAACAUGCACCUGUAUAUGUCGAUAAUUGAUAACUAGCGAGAUAUAAAUUUAAAUUCCUUUUUUAGCGAAGGAUAUGAAUUUAAUAAGACAAAGGCACCCGUGCAGCCCAUUUUGCACCUGUUCGAUAUUUUAGAAAUUUAAGAUGUAAAUUAUAAUUUCAGUAAUAAACAUAAUCUUUAAAUAUUUGUGUGUUAUAAAAAUUGUACAUACAAAUGAAUAACCUACUUUCAAAAAACAUUAUAUAUGAUUUAAAACUAUUCUAUAUUUAUAUUAAUAUUUAUGAAUAUGCGCACUAAUUUGGGCUAUAUGGAACUGCAGAAAUGAUAUGAUAUUUAACAGAAAAAAAUUAUAAACUUUUUGCAGGUUAUUUACAGAGCUAUAGCAUGGAUCUGUACGUGGUCGUUAGUCGUUACUCACUCAUACAGACUCCAGGGAGCUUUUGGUUACUGGAUGCAACAGAUGGAAGACGGUGGCAUGGGAUAUCUAUAAUCGGUUUGGAUGAAGGUCCAAUAAUAGGAUAGGUGUUUAGUCAUCGUGUCCUGUUUUUCGCUGGUUGUGGCUUUGUUUAUCUUCAUUCAUUUUUAUGCUCCUCUUGCAAGCUGUAAUGGACUAGGCACUUUGUUCUGUUUGGAUUUUUUAAUAAAAUGGCCGCAUGGAUCAUUCAGAUUCAGAGGCAGGGGAUUAUCCUCCUUUUCAAAAAAGAAGAAAUUGGGCGUAAUGGCUAUAUAAUAUAAUCUAAACAUAUGUGAC